GUAGAAGGAGCUCGAGCUGCCAAAGACACGCCGACCUGAGGAGGAAGUUGCUAGUCUGGUCGAGCUCCAAGAAGUGAGGUCGGCGCGACGCGGAAAUGGGCCAAUGGACAGACGUGAUGGUGGCAAAGAUGCAUCGAUCUGGUGAGGAAGUCGCCGGUCUGGUCGAGCUCCAAGAAGUGAGGUCGGCAUGACCAGGUAGCAAUCCGACCCUGUAGGUCGGCGCGGAAAUGAACAAUGUCGGUACUGCCGAUUUCGUCGCCAUCGAUCUUGG
rnacentral:lncRNA from 1 species